rnacentral:rRNA from 1 species
AUUAAGNCCUGCAUGUCUAAGUAUAAGCAAUUAUACCGCGAAACUGCGAAUGGCUCAUUAUAUAAGUUAUCGUUUAUUUGAUAGCACAUUUACCUACUUGGAUAACCGUGGUAAUUCUAGAGCUAAUACAUGCUAAAAAUCCCGACUUCGGAAGGGAUGUAUUUAUUAGAUUAAAAGCCAACGCCCUUCGGGGCUUCUUGGUGAUUCAUGAUAACUUGUCGAAUCGCAUGGCCUUGCGCCGGCGAUGGUUCAUUCAAAUUUCUUCCCUAUCAACUUUCGAUGCGAGGGUCUUGUCCUCGCAUGGUUGCAACGGGUAACGGAGGGUUAGGGCUCGACCCCGGAGAAGGAGCCUGAGAAACGGCUACUACAUCCAAGGAAGGCAGCAGGCGCGCAAAUUACCCAAUCCCGACACGGGGAGGUAGUGACAAUAAAUACUGAUACAGGGCUCUUUUGGGUCUUGUAAUCGGAAUGAGUACAAUUUAAAUCCCUUAACGAGGAACAAUUGGAGGGCAAGUCUGGUGCCAGCAGCCGCGGUAAUUCCAGCUCCAAUAGCGUAUAUUAAAGUUGUUGUGGUUAAAAAGCUCGUAGUUGAACCUUGGGCCUGGCUGGCCGGUCCCCCUCACCGGGUGCACUGAUCCAGCCGGGCCUUUCCCUCUGUGGAACCUCAUGGCCUUCACUGGCUGUGCUGGGGAANCAGGACUUUUACUUUGAAAAAUUAGAGUGCUCCAGGCAGGCCUAUGCUCGAAUACAUUAGCAUGGAAUAAUAGAAUAGGACGUGUGGUUCUAUUUUGNUGGUUUCUAGGA